GAUGAAGAACGUAGCGAAAUGCGAUAAGUAAUGUGAAUAGCAGAAUUCAGUGAAUCAUCGAAUCUUUGAACGCACAUUGCGCCCGCUAGUAUUCUGGCGGGCAUGCCUGUCCGAGCGUCAUUUCAACCCUCAAGCCCCCGGGCUUGGUGUUGGGGAUCGGCGAGCCUCCGCGCCCGCCGUCCCCUAAAUCUAGUGGCGGUCUCGCUGUAGCUUCCUCUGCGUAGUAGCACACCUCGCACUGGGAAACAGCGCGGCCACGCCGUUAAACCCCCAACUUCUGAACGUUUGACCUCGGAUCAGGUAGGAAUACCCGCUGAACUUAAGCAUAUCAAUAAGCGGAGGA
rnacentral:misc_RNA from 1 species